rnacentral:rRNA from 1 species
CAGUCGAACGAGCGAGAGAGAGCUUGCUUUCUCGAGCGAGUGGCGAACGGGUGAGUAACGCGUGAGGAACCUGCCUCAAAGAGGGGGACAACAGUUGGAAACGACUGCUAAUACCGCAUAAGCCCACGACCCGGCAUCGGGUUGAGGGAAAAGGAGUGAUCCGCUUUGAGAUGGCCUCGCGUCCGAUUAGCUAGUUGGUGAGGUAACGGCCCACCAAGGCAACGAUCGGUAGCCGGACUGAGAGGUUGAACGGCCACAUUGGGACUGAGACACGGCCCAGACUCCUACGGGAGGCAGCAGUGGGGAAUAUUGCACAAUGGGGAAAACCCUGAUGCAGCGACGCCGCGUGGAGGAAGAAGGUCUUCGGAUUGUAAACUCCUGUUGUUGAGGAAGAUAAUGACGGUACUCAACAAGGAAGUGACGGCUAACUACGUGCCAGCAGCCGCGGUAAAACGUAGGUCACAAGCGUUGUCCGGAAUUACUGGGUGUAAAGGGAGCGCAGGCGGGAGAACAAGUUGGAAGUGAAAUCCAUGGGCUCAACCCAUGAACUGCUUUCAAAACUGUUUUUCUUGAGUAGUGCAGAGGUAGGCGGAAUUCCCGGUGUAGCGGUGGAAUGCGUAGAUAUCGGGAGGAACACCAGUGGCGAAGGCGGCCUACUGGGCACCAACUGACGCUGAGGCUCGAAAGUGUGGGUAGCAAACAGGAUUAGAUACCCUGGUAGUCCACACCGUAAACGAUGAUUACUAGGUGUUGGAGGAUUGACCCCUUCAGUGCCGCAGUUAACACAAUAAGUAAUCCGCCUGGGGAGUA